rnacentral:misc_RNA from 1 species
AACAAGGCGUACCUGCGGACCUGCGGAAGGAUCAUUACAGAGUUCGUGCCCUCGCGGGUAGAUCUCCCACCCUUGUGUAUUCCUUACAUUUUGUUGCUUUGGCAGGCCGUUGGUUCGCCAACCACCGGCUCUACGGGCUGGUGCGUGCCUGCCAGAGGACCCCCCAAACUCGGUUUGUUAGUGUCGUCUGAGUAACCAUAACAAUCGUUAAAACUUUCAGCAAUGGAUCUCAGAUCGGAA